CUACACAUGCAGUCGAGCGGAUGAAGAGAGCUUGCUCUCUGAUUCAGCGGCGGACGGGUGAGUAAUGCCUAGGAAUCUGCCUGGUAGUGGGGGACAACGUUUCGAAAGGAACGCUAAUACCGCAUACGUCCUACGGGAGAAAGCAGGGGACCUUCGGGCCUUGCGCUAUCAGAUGAGCCUAGGUCGGAUUAGCUAGUUGGUGAGGUAAUGGCUCACCAAGGCGACGAUCCGUAACUGGUCUGAGAGGAUGAUCAGUCACACUGGAACUGAGACACGGUCCAGACUCCUACGGGAGGCAGCAGUGGGGAAUAUUGGACAAUGGGCGAAAGCCUGAUCCAGCCAUGCCGCGUGUGUGAAGAAGGUCUUCGGAUUGUAAAGCACUUUAAGUUGGGAGGAAGGGCAUUAACCUAAUACGUUAGUGUUUUGACGUUACCGACAGAAUAAGCACCGGCUAACUCUGUGCCAGCAGCCGCGGUAAUACAGAGGGUGCAAGCGUUAAUCGGAAUUACUGGGCGUAAAGCGCGCGUAGGUGGUUUGUUAAGUUGGAUGUGAAAGCCCC
rnacentral:rRNA from 1 species